UGCCAGCCGCCGCGGUAAUACGGAGGGGGUUAGCGUUGUUCGGAAUUACUGGGCGUAAAGCGCGCGUAGGCGGACUAUUAAGUCGAGGGUGAAAUCCCAGGGCUCAACCCUGGAACUGCCUUCGAAACUAUGAGGCUAGAGUCUGGCAGAGGGUGGUGGAAUUCCCCGUGUAGAGGUGAGAUUCGUAGAUAUGGGGAGGAACACCGGGGGCGAAGGCGGCCACCUGGACCGGUACUGACGCUGAGGCGCGAAAGCGUGGGGAGCAAACAGGAUUAGAUA
rnacentral:rRNA from 1 species